UUUUCAUGAAGUUUCGCACAUGUUCCAAAUUGACUACUUUCUGCGGAGCACCUGGAACCUAUUAUAACGGGUAUCCACUGGACACUGUCCAGUAGAAAAUGAGAAUGAUUUCAAUAUCUUUCUGUAAUUAAAACAAAGAGUGUAAUUUAUUCCCCCCAAGAGAAUUGCUCUCUGGACUUCUUAAAAAUGGGUGACAUGUUUCUUUUCGCUCGGGUGCUGUUAAUUCAACCGAAUAUGGCGUCGAAACAGCAAGCACUCCGUGAGCGUGGUUUCACAAAACGCCGUACGUACCGAAAUAAAGUAACCCGCAUAGAAAAAUACAGUUCGGUAUUUAUUCCAAACAAUAAAUUUCCUCUAUCUGUUAAUGUCAAUGUACCACGAACUGUUAUUUUUAUGUAGUACUAUAUACGAUUUUUAGUUUGAAACAAUAAAAGACGGCUUAAGCAAUGUUUACUAAAAUGUUACUGUUUAGUAUACUGUGCAUACAUUGUUGAACAAUAUGGGAGUUAAAAAUCAAAACCGUUAAGAAUAAUAAAUUACCUAUUUGGGAAAUAGUAGCCACAACUCACCAGGUUCAAAACACUGCACUCUGAUACAAUUAUACUCAGGCAAAAUCAAUCUAACUGAGAACUCAUAAUGCGUUUUUACUUCGAUUCGAUUAGAAUUUUCAUAUUAAGUAAAACAACAUAAAAACUAAAAUUUAAAAAUAAAUAACAAAAUAAAAAUAAGUUUUUAAUCUUCAAAAUUAUUUAAAAAAAAUAAUCUUAAAACAUUUUGCAACAUCUGCAUAAAAUUUUCUCCAGUGUCUGGGUAGAUGUUUUUUUAGAGUGCAUUUUCAGUAACUGUUCGGGCGAUUAAAAACAUUAAUUUGCGGUAAGUUUUUUCGUUAAUAUUUAUGGAUUUCAAUUGAAAUAUGCUGAGAUUAUUGUGCUGCUAGUGUUAAUUUUGCUGAUGCAGAUAUAGACGUUACAUAGUGUCGCGUUUUUUUUUCCAGAAAUAAAUUCCACCAGGACAUCCAGUUUCGGAACGGUUGAUAGCGGAUGCCGCUGGUUGCUUGAUCCGUAAGGUUGUUGGAUUAACGUUUGGUGCUUUCAGAUGUAUCUGAACAACUAUAGGCCAUUGGAUUAAAGAGGCGGUGAUGAGCGAGUGGACGAUCGUAUACCCGAAAUGUAUGGUUUAUAUACAAGACCCAAAUGAACGGAACUAGAGAUGAUUGCCGAACUAGAGAUCAUUGCCGAAGAAGGAAUCGUAGUCGCAUAUCAGUUUAGCACAAGAUUUUUUUUCUCUAGAAGAAUCUCGAAUAAAACCGCUUACAAAAGAGUGUA